rnacentral:rRNA from 1 species
GAUGAACGCUGGCGGCGUGCCUAAUACAUGCAAGUCGAGCGAACGGACGAGAAGCUUGCUUCUCUGAUGUUAGCGGCGGACGGGUGAGUAACACGUGGAUAACCUACUUAUAAGACUGGGAUAACUUCGGGAAACCGGAGCUAAUACCGGAUAAUAUUUUGAACCGCAUGGUUCAAAAGUGAAAGACGGUCUUGCUGUCACUUAUAGAUGGAUCCGCGCUGCAUUAGCUAGUUGGUAAGGUAACGGCUUACCAAGGCAACGAUGCAUAGCCGACCUGAGAGGGUGAUCGGCCACACUGGAACUGAGACACGGUCCAGACUCCUACGGGAGGCAGCUGUAGGGAAUCUUCCGCAAUGGGCGAAAGCCUGACGGAGCAACGCCGCGUGAGUGAUGAAGGUCUUCGGAUCGUAAAACUCUGUUAUUAGGGAAGAACAUAUGUGUAAGUAACUGUGCACAUCUUGACGGUACCUAAUCAGAAAGCCACGGCUAACUACGUG